UACAGAGGGCGCGAGCGUUGUCCGGAAUUACUGGGCGUAAAGCGCGUGUAGGCGGCUAUGUAAGUCGGGCGUGAAAUCCCACGGCUCAACCGUGGAAGUGCACCCGAAACUGCGUAGCUAGAGUCCUGGAGAGGAAGGUGGAAUGCUUGGUGUAGAGGUGAAAUUCGUAGAUAUCAAGCGGAACACCGGUGGCGAAGGCGGCCUUCUGGACAGUGACUGACGCUGAGACGCGAAAGCGUGGGGAGCAAACAGG
rnacentral:rRNA from 1 species